GGGCGCAUAGCUCAGUUGGUUAGAGCGCACGGUUCACAUCCGUGAGGUCACAGGUUCGAGUCCUGUUGCGCCCA
rnacentral:tRNA from 1 species